rnacentral:rRNA from 1 species
UACGUAGGGGGCGAGCGUUGUCCGGAUUCAUUGGGCGUAAAGCGCGCGUAGGCGGCCCCGCAAGUCGGCCGUGAAAUCUCCGGGCUCAACUCGGAGGGGUCGGGCGAGACUGCGAGGCUCGAGGUGGGCAGGAGGGCAGUGGAAUUCCGGGUGUAGUGGUGGAAUGCGUAGAGAGUCCGGAGGAACACCAAUGAGCGAAGGCAGCUCGCUGGGACGUUACUGACACUGAGGCGCGAAAGCGUGGGGAGCGAACAGG